GACGAACGCUGGCGGCGUGCUUAACACAUGCAAGUCGAACGCUGACGCUCAGCUUUUGUUGGGUGGAUGAGUGGCGAACGGGUGAGUAACACGUGAGUAGCCUGCCGCCUUCUUUGGGAUAACGCCCGGUAACGGGUGCUACUACUGGAUAUUCACUGGUCUUCGCCUGGGGGUUGGUGGUAAGGGCUUUUCUGGUGGGGGAUGGCCUCGUGGCCUAUCAGCUUGUUGGUGGGGUGAUGGCCUACCAAGGCUUUGUCGGGUAGCCGGCCUGAGAGGGUGACCGGUCACAUAGGGACGGAGAUACGGCCCAGACGACGACGGGAGGCAGAAGUGGGGAAAAUUGCACAAUGGGCGAAAGCGUGGUGCAGCGAGGCCGCGGGAGGGAUGGAGGCCUUAGAGUUGUGAACCUCUUUCGCUAAUGGGCAAGCCGCAACAAUGGUUGUGGUGAGGGUAGUGGGAGAAGAAGCGCCGGCUAACUACGUG
rnacentral:rRNA from 1 species